AAUGAACGUUGGCGGCGUGGAUUAGGCAUGCAAGUCGAGCGAGAACCCCGCAAGGGGGGACAGCGGCAAACGGGGUAGUAAUGUGUCGGAACGUGCCCAGAGGACGGGAAUAGCGGCGGGAAACUGCCGGUAAUACCCGAUGAUCUCGAGAGAGCAAAGGUGUGAUUCCGCCUUUGGAGCGGCCGACAUGGUAUUAGCUAGUUGGCGGGGUAACGGCCCACCAAGGCUGUGAUGCCUAGGGGAUGUGAGAGCAUGAUCCCCACCAUUGGGACUGAGACACUGCCCAGACACCUACGGGUGGCUGCAGUCGAGAAUCUUCGUCAAUGGGCGAAAGCCUGAACGAGCGACGCCGCGUGUGGGAUGAAGGCCUUUGGGUUGUAAACCACUGUCGAGGGGGAUGAAGGCAUUCAGGUUCUCCUGAAUGUUUGACAGAGCCCUGGAGGAAGCACGGGCUAAGUUCGUGCCAGCCGCCGCGGUAACAC
rnacentral:rRNA from 1 species